UACAGAGGUCUCAAGCGUUGUUCGGAUUCAUUGGGCGUAAAGGGUGCGUAGGCGGCGCGGUAAGUCGGGUGUGAAAUCUCGGGCUUAACUCCGAAACUGCAUUCGAUACUGCCGUGCUUGAGGACUGGAGAGGAGACUGGAAUUUACGGUGUAGCGGUGAAAUGCGUAGAUAUCGUAAGGAAGACCAGUGGCGAAGGCGGGUCUCGUGGACAGUUCCUGACGCUGAGGCACGGAAGGCCAGGGGAGCAAAACGGG
rnacentral:rRNA from 1 species